AGCUGCACUUGUCAAUUGCGAAACUCAUCAAAUAACGCACAAUUCCGAGACAAGUUUUUAGCUCUAAUGGCGGGUCGCCUCCUUCGGGAGAGUUCUUCGGGAACACGGCGAAUUACAAAGGGGCUGAAGCACUCAAAUCCUGUCAUACGGAGUUUCACAGAUUUCACAGGUGCAGCUUUUUCA
rnacentral:sRNA from 1 species